rnacentral:rRNA from 1 species
UACGUAGGGGGCUAGCGUUGUCCGGAUUUAUUGGGCGUAAAGAGCGUGUAGGCGGCCAGGUAGGUCUGCUGUGAAAACUCGAGGCUCAACCUCGAGACGUCGGCGGAAACCAUCUGGCUAGAGUCCGGAAGAGGAGAGUGGAAUUCCUGGUGUAGCGGUGAAAUGCGCAGAUAUCAGGAGGAACACCGGUGGCGAAGGCGGGUCUCUGGACAGUUCCUGACGCUGAGGCACGAAGGUCAGGGGAGCAAACGGG